rnacentral:rRNA from 1 species
AUUGAACGCUGGCGGCAGGCCUAACACAUGCAAGUCGAGCGGAUGAAGGGAGCUUGCUCCUGGAUUCAGCGGCGGACGGGUGAGUAAUGCCUAGGAAUCUGCCUGGUAGUGGGGGAUAACGUCCGGAAACGGGCGCUAAUACCGCAUACGUCCUGAGGGAGCAAGUGGGGGAUCUUCGGACCUCACGCUAUCAGAUUAGCCUAGGUCGGAUUAGCUAGUUGGUGGGGUAAAGGCCUACCAAGGCGACGAUCCGUAACUGGUCUGAGAGGAUGAUCAGUCACACUGGAACGGAGACACGGUCCAGACUCCUACGGGAGGCAGCAGUGGGGAAUAUUGGACAAUGGGCGAAAGCCUGAUCCAGCCAUGCCGCGUGUGUGAAGAAGGUCUUCGGAUUGUAAAGCACUUUAAGUUGGGAGGAAGGGCAGUAAGUUAAUACCUUGCGGUUUUGACGUUACCAACAGAAUAAGCACCGGCUAACUUCGUG